UUGAGAUGCUCCAUCCAAGGUUAAUGGAGGCUUUAGUGGAGCAGCUCAAAAGGAGCCAGUCCAGGUGCAGCUCUGAGGUCAGAGCUCACGGUGGGGAUGUGCUGAAGCUGUGGAGGUGUCCUACAGGAGCCUGAGGCUGCAAGAAUUAGCAAAAAUGGAUAUGCCAGCACCUGAAACAGCUGUUAUAGAUCCUGUCCUCUGUUCUUCCAGAGACCUCAGCUGACACCUGCAUCCAGCUGCACUGCCUGCUUUCCUCCUCCCUCCUGGGCAGCAUCCCUAUUCUGUGUUCUGAUCAUGAGCGCCACUGAAGAAUUGCUCCUUGCUAGAAUAUCCUAAGUUAUUUGUAAAGCAAUCCCGCAUCUUACACAUCCCAUAACGAUCCCUGCUUUAAAUUUGUAAUGUUCCCUCAUUGAGAUUUCUGCUGAGGGAUUUCUGCAGACUCUGAGAUGUGAUUUUCCAUAAUUGAUGUCCCACUGAAGGAGGUGAUUUAAUUCUGCUGAAGUCAUAUUUGUUUUCUACAAGUCUCCCAAAGUUCAUGAGGCCAAUUACUCCGAAGAGCUGAGACUUUAAUGGCACUGAUGUAUCAUCCAGUGUUGAGCUCAUCCCCACGUGUGAGGCAGGGUGGUCCAUGGGUUGAUGAUGGUGAUGACUUGGAGCUGCCCCUUGGAGCCCUGCUCAUAGCUCAGGCAAGGUGAGAUGCUUUGCUCCACAGGGACACAGAGCAAAACCAGGACUGUCCCUGUUUUAGGGAGUUUUCAGUCCUAAAGGAUGUCUCUGACACAAUCCAGGACAGGUUUGCUGUAUAACCUGACUCAAAAUUGUUGCAUUAUAAAUAAAUGUAGAAGACUUCUGAAGAGGAAAGCCUAUAGAAGUGGAGUAACGUCAUGUUGCAUGUUCCUCUGCUUCCAUCUGCUCAAGAGCAUUUUUCUCCCUGUGUUUCCCAGCUUGGAGGAUACUCACCCAGCCAACUGGCUGGGGAUCCAGGACUGCUGUCAGCUGGAUGCUGCCGUAGUUUCCCUCAUGGAAGUGGCUGAAGAUUAGAGACGUGUAACCUCUACACUCAAACCUUCCCUAGGGCUCCUUCAUGCUCAAAUCCUCCUUUUUGCCCUGUUUCUAUAAACUGAUUUCUGUGAGCUGCAACUUAAUCAGGAUGUUAAUUUUAACCUUUUCUUGAAGGAUUAUGUUCCACCCCGCUUAACUCCCAGAAACGCUGACACCCUGUGGGCAUUCCCUGGGCCUGAAUGUUUUUCUCCCUUCAGACUUUCCUGUUUUUGCAGUUCCGUUGUGUUACUUCUUUCUAAUGGUUCCAACUCAAAUUCUGGUGCUGGCUGAAUAACUUUUCUAUGUGCUGGAAUUAAUAAUUAAUAAUAGUGUCUA